UGGUUUCUCCUACUCAGCAGUUUUUGU
rnacentral:piRNA from 1 species